CAGUCGUACCUUCGGGUAAUCAGCCUUUCGGGUGCGAUUCUGUGGGGUUUGAGGAGCUUAACACCUUCAUGCUUUUGCAUAUUCGUGCUCUUGGGUGUACUUGCCCGUGUGGUUGGUUAACAUCAAUUUGGUGGUCAUAAAAUGACUGGAGGAAUGUAGCUUCGAUCUUGUAUUGAAGUGUUACAGACUCCGGUAGAUGUGAUGACUGAGUAUU
rnacentral:rRNA from 1 species